rnacentral:pre_miRNA from 1 species
UAAUAAAAAAAUCAUUAAUUUUUACUGUUAAAUAUUGACUUGGCUAAUAGAAUAACCAAAUAUUUACAUGUGACAUGUCACGUGUUCCUCAUGCUGACACACAAUGAUUAGUUUUUAACUUUAGAAGUAGAUGUAAUUUUUAAUA